CCACGUCUCCUUUUACUGUACCGCACCUCCCCUGUAAAAAGUAGCGAUGGCAUCGGCGAAAACGCAUCCUCUUUUCCUCACAGCCCGCUCUCCACCGUGACGCUAGGGUUCCUAGCCGCCGCCGCGCGCACAGCCGGCCAGAGCCACCUCCACUCCGGCGCCCAUCGAUAGUCCUCUUCGCCGUCGCCCGGAGCUGCUCCGCCCAUCUCUGUCCGUUCCCGAGUGGACUCGGCCCGCCCAGCAGCCCCUCCACGCCGGCCGGCCGGAGCUGCGCCGCCCACCACAGCAAAGGGGUGGGGGUAGGGGGGGCGUAGAGGAUGGGGGCAGUAACGUCACACGGUGGAGGUCACUGGUCACCACCUGUGGCAAAGAUUUGCAGGGAGUGCAAGGUUGUUGUCGGAUGCUCAGGAAUGCAGCGGGAGUUCGCCUGUUCUCGGCUUCCUGUUCGGAGUUGUAUAGUGCCACCCCUGUCGACUCCACCGGCAGCGGGAUCCAGGUCCAACUCCAGGAUAUUUGAUUCAGUAAUCAGCUUCAGUUCCAAGUUUCAGUGCUUCAGAAAUAUUGGUUUUGGUAAUCAGCUUGCCGAGAUGGUACCUGGACAUAAUUUACUUGCGUGCUAUAGCGUGUAGAAAAUUGUCUAGUUAAAUUGAUCAGUGUACAAUCUCUCGCUAAUAGCAUAUUUUCAGAGGUCACGCUAUUUUGUAUAGCACGCUAUUCAUUAGAUCUGUCUACUCCUGUAUUUUCAGUUACCUGUGUGACUGAAAAAAUACACUAUAUGUCACUAUGAUAUAUUUCUUAAGUUAUGUAUAGAACCUCUGCCUAUAUACUUGGAUCACCGGAUUGUUAUGCAUCAAAACUACAGAAUUACUACUUACCAUUGUAGUGUCGUGUUCUGUGUAUACCAAUAUCUCUACCACUAUAAUACACCAUUCUUGAAUUUGGAUUCACCACCUACUUGCUUUUUAGUCUGCUCGAGGUCGGCCAUGGUGGUCCGGCCCGACCAAUGGAUGGAUGGGGAUGAAACCCUAGCCCAACACCCACACAUGGAUGGAUGGGAUGGGGCGACGACGACGGCGGCAGCGGCCUUCUCUCGGUGCUUGCUGAUGUGGUGGCCAUCGACACCGGCAACGAGUUGCAGCACGUAGACAUCAAAGGCUGCGGGUGUGACGGAGGAGCACCAUGGCGGGCGUGCAGGCCAUGGCUCUCUAUGUUAAGGGAGCAUUCCUCAAUUUUUUGGGGGUUCAACGGAACAGCAGGAGUGUGGAGAAUUAAGGCACUCGAGGACUCUGGAAUAUGGAUGGAGAGAACAACAGUUGAAGACAUGGAUAUUGCUGUUCGAGCACAUAUAAAGGGAUGGAAGUUUCUGUUAUGGUUGAUGACUUUUCUGUAUGGCAUUCAUACCUUUACUGAUCAUUCAAACUGUGCUACACGAAUUUCCAUUCAGUGUUAGUGUGAAUUGCUGGAGUCAUACGAAGUUUACAGAAAACAGCAAAAUAGAUGGCAUUCUGGUCCAGUGCAGUUGUUUAGACUCUGCUUUCUGGACAUCAUCAAAUCAAAGGUAUUAAUGUAGGCAUAUUUUGAAAGGUGAAUUUUAUUUUCCAGGGAAAAAAUCGGACGCCUUCCUUGACGCUCUCCUUGAGCUUGUACUCCUCCUUGAGGAGCUCGACCAGCUUGGGCAGCAGGGAGCCCAUGGCGCCGGUUGCCAUACUCAUGGCCAUGGCUUGUUGAUUAGUGCAGUAGCUUUGUUGUUUGCUUGAGGAGUGUAUAGCAAUUGUUGUACGUUUAGGUGCUACAACGCUGUUCUUUAUAGGAGCCGAGCAAGUUCACAUCAACACAUUAAGGUUAUGGAGUAGACAAGGAUAAUUAAGUAUAGUUUGAUUAGUAUGACAAGUCAUGUCAGCAGGAUGAAUAUUUACAAGAUUGAUUAUCUCCCAGGAAGACAAAUAGGAAGUAUGUUUGCAAGUUUUCAUCACUAAAUUAUACAAUUAUAUAAAUUGUGUUCUACUUGAAGUUUGGUCAGUUAAAAUCAUGUUGACUCGCCUACUGUUUAAUGGUUCUAUUUUGAUCAUAUAAUUAGGUUUACAUCUUGACUCGCUUGAUUUGAUAAAUUCCAUUCUUAUCAAGGGUCGUCAUUUGUGUAUUUCCUCUUCGGAGGGUGAUCUCGUCGCCCACGGAUAAGCAAUCCAAGGAGAAGAGAGUAGGGUCUGCGCCCAACUUGACUCCCUAUAAAAGGAGGGGAGGUGGCUGCGAGCAUGCCAUCAGCGUUGGGUCGAUGGUGUUGUGCCUCGGCAGCCGGGAUCAUGCAAUGCAGAUGGGAAGCAGCAGUGCCGCCUCUCCCCCCGAGCUCCAGAUACAUGAUAGCAGCAUCGAGGUGAGCAGUGGCAAAGGUUCCCACCUGAACAUAUCGAGCUGUGACACCAGUACGGCCACAAUCUCCAAUACUACUAUGACUGAUGGCUGUCCUCCACCCGAGGAGAAAAACUACAUUCAGAGGUUACAGAAUGGCAAUGGGUGGCAUGGUUAGUGAUCACUAGGCCAUGAAUCUCAUGGAUCCCAUGAUACAGGUAUCUGGUCCAGAUCCGACGGAGCCAAGCAAAAUCAUGUUGCUGCUUCUUCUUUCGAUUGAAAAUCCAGGUGAAACCUUUCAAGAACUCACGACGACACGCAAUGAUUAUAUUUCAUUGUGAUGGCCGCUGCCGACACAGCUACUAUGGGUACACGCAACUUCUAUUUCGCUCGUCACCGGAAACCACCGCCCAGAUCCAUCUCUUCUCAACCAUGCCGACGUGGUGGUCAGGGGCGCUUACAACUUGUGAGGACCUGCGUUCUCGCUGUUGAUCCGUGAUGGCAUGGCCUCCCCGCGCCCUAGCCGUGUUCUAGCUGAUGGUUUGGGUCUGCCAGCAGAGGGAGAGGGGGACGACCUCUGUCGCUCCUUCUUUCUAGCCUCUUCAUCUUGAUGAAGCCGUAGGAGUAGAGGGGCACACGCCUGAUGGAUCUGCUCCAAGCACCUGAAGCCACGCAUCUUCAAGAUGGUGUACCCAAAUGCCAACCAAGCCUCACAUACUUGCCGAAUGGUAUGAAUGUAAAUGCACUUUGUGAUGGUUCCACCGGGCUUCGCACAAACUGAUGAUACUUUCUGUGCUACGUCUAUUCCAAGCAAGAACACCACUACCACUGCUGUAAAUUCUUCUGACCCGGAGCAACGACAUCUUAUUCAAGGCGAGAAAUUGUACCCGCUGGCUGAACAGCUUGAGUCAUUAUCAGGUGGGAAGGUGACAGGGAUGCUGGGUGAAGCAAUGGAAGCUCCGCAGAGAAGCAAAGUUGAAGAGGCCAGCGAUACUGUUGACAUUGCAUCCGUAUCAUCAUCCUUGACCUUGAGUGCACCCCACUUCGGCACCAUCGUGCUCGAGUGCUCGACGCUGCUAACCAUGCUUCCGCAUCGUUUUCCUCAAGUGCUUGAACGCUGAUUCCUAACAUCUCUAUCAAUCUGGAAUUUAGAUGGCUGGACAAUGUUUAAGAAGAUUCCUGAUUUGAUAAUACUUCAUGAUAUUUUCGGUCAAGAGUUUUAUUCUUCUUUGUUUGUUCUUAGGUUAAAGUGCAACUGCAUUUCCACCAAUAUUCAGGAUAACUUUAGA